rnacentral:rRNA from 1 species
GAUUAUUGGGCGUAAGCGCGCGCAGGCGGUCCUUUAAGUCUGAUGUGAAAGCCCACCCCUUAACCGUGGAGGGUCAUUGGAAACUGGGGGACUUGAGUCCUUAAGAGGAAAGUGGAAUUCCAAGUGUAGCGGUGAAAUGCGUAGAGAUUUGGAGGAACACCAGUGGCGAAGGCGACCUUCUGGUCUGUAACUGACGCUGAGGCGCGAAAGCGUGGGGAGCAAACAGGAUUAGAUACCCUGGUAGUCCACGCCGUAAACGAUGAGUGCUAAGUGUUAGGGGGUUUCCGCCCCUUAGUGCUGCAGCUAACGCAUUAAGCACUCCGCCUGGGGAGUACGGUCGCAAGACUGAAACUCAAAGGAAUUGACGGGGGCCCGCACAAGCGGUGGAGCAUGUGGUU